UUCUAGGAAUGCUACCAGAGUGUCAAGACAAUUGGAUCUGAUACCCAGCAAAGAUUAUUGCCCUCUAUUUGUUGGCGAUAAGAGGGUCCAGCAGACGGAGUUUGACUACACGGAAUUAAACAAGGACACUAUUAAGGUCAUUGGAUCCUGAACCAUGCAGAACGAUUUUUAUCUUACAUGGAAAAUGAUAUCACAAAACGAUUGUUCAUUUUAAACUCUUAUUGGCUGCUCUGGACUUUAAAGUAUAUAUAGAAUAAAUUUCAUAAGUUAAUAUUAUUAAUGAGGCAAGGGUCUUUAAUUUAAAAUAAAUUUUUUUUUUUUAUUCUGACUCCUAUUUAAGAAAAAAAUCUAUUAUGCAACAUAAAUAAAUUGUUACAUUUUACUGUAACGUAACCAAUUGAACUCAAUAAAGUAUA